rnacentral:rRNA from 1 species
GGAUGCGAUCAUACCAGCACUAAAGCACCGGAUCCCAUCAGAACUCCGAAGUUAAGCGUGCUUGGGCGAGAGUAGUACUAGGAUGGGUGACCUACUAGGAAGUCCUCAUUUUGCAUUCC